GUAACGCGUGAGGAACCUGCCUCAAAGAGGGGGACAACAGUUGGAAACGACUGCUAAUACCGCAUAAGCCCACGGGUCGGCAUCGACCAGAGGGAAAAGGAGCAAUCCGCUUUGAGAUGGCCUCGCGUCCGAUUAGCUAGUUGGUGAGGUAAUGGCCCACCAAGGCAACGAUCGGUAGCCGGACUGAGAGGUUGAACGGCCACAUUGGGACUGAGACACGGCCCAG
rnacentral:rRNA from 1 species